AUCUUUCCAGUUCAUAACCGUGAUGAUUGGUUUGUUCACACUUAUUGUGAAAUGCGCAGCCUUACUUGUUACGCUUUGUGCAUAAACCGUCUGACU